rnacentral:rRNA from 1 species
CCCUUAGAUGUCCGGGGCCGCACGCGCGCUACACUGAAGGAAUCAGCGUGGCUUUCUCCCUGACCCGAAAGGGUUGGGAAACCCGUUGAAUCUCCUUCGUGAUAGGGAUUGGGGCUUGAAAUUGUUCCCCAUGAACGAGGAAUUCCCAGUAAGCGCGAGUCAUAAGCUCGCGUUGAUUACGUCCCUGCCCUUUGUACACACCGCCCGUCGCUACUACCGAUUGAACGGUUUAGUGAGGGCCUCGGAUUGGUCCCAGCACGGCGGGUAACCCCUGCGCUGGUGCGCCGAGAAGUCGGUCGAGCUUGAUUAUCUAGAGGAAGUAAAAGUCGUAACA